CCUACGGGUGGCAGCAGUGGGGAAUAUUGCACAAUGGGGGAAACCCUGAUGCAGCAACGCCGCGUGAAGGAAGACGGUUUUCGGAUUGUAAACUUCUAUCAAUAGGGACGAAAGACAUGACGGUACCUGACUAAGAAGCCCCGGCUAACUACGUGCCAGCAGCCGCGGUAAUACGUAGGGGGCAAGCGUUAUCCGGAAUUACUGGGUGUAAAGGGUGAGUAGGCGGCAUGGUAAGCCAGAUGUGAAAGCCUUGGGCUUAACCCGAGGAUUGCAUUUGGAACUAUCAAGCUAGAGUACAGGAGAGGAAAGCGGAAUUCCUAGUGUAGCGGUGAAAUGCGUAGAUAUUAGGAAGAACACCAGUGGCGAAGGCGGCUUUCUGGACUGAAACUGACGCUGAGGCACGAAAGCGUGGGGAGCGAACAGGAUUAGAUACCCCAGUAGUC
rnacentral:rRNA from 1 species